UAAGGAAUAUUCCCCAAUGGGCGAAAGCCUGAGGGAGCGACGCCGCGUGCGGGAGGAAGCCUUUCGGGGUGUAAACCGCUUUUUUGAGGGAUGACAUCUUCUACUCGCAUAAAGUAGGAGUACGACAGUACCUCAAGAAUAAGCCUCGGCUAACUACGUGCCAGCAGCCGCGGUAAUACGUAGGAGGCGAGCGUUGUCCGGAUUUACUGGGCGUAAAGGGCGCGCAGGCGGGCACGAUAAGUAAGGUGUGAAAUCUCCCUGCUCAACGGGGAGGGAGCACUUUAGACUGUCGAGCUAGAGGUGGGUAGAGGGUGGUGGAAUUGCUGGUGUAGCGGUGAAAUGCGUAGAGAUCAGCAGGAACACCCGUGGCGAGGGCGGCCACCUGGGCCUAACCUGACGCUGAGGCGCGAAGGCUAGGGGAGCGAACGGGAUUAGAUACCCCGGUAGUCCUAGCAGUAAACGAUGUCCACUAGGUGUGGGGGGUUGUUGA
rnacentral:rRNA from 1 species